CAGGGACUUUGAGGUGAUGGGGUAACGUUGGUAACAUUAGGAUAACACAGGGACUUUGAGGUGAUGGGAUAACGUUAGUAAUGUUAGGAUAACACAGGGACUUUGAGGUGACUGAAGUAAUGUUAGAAUAACACAGGGACUUUGAGGUGAUGGAAGUAACAUUAGUAAUGUUAGAGUAACACAGGGACUUUGAGGUGAUUGAAGUAAUGUUAGUAAUGAUAGAGUAACACAGGGACUUUGAGGUGAUUGAAGUAAUGUUAGUAAUGUUAGAGUAACACAGGGACUUUGAGGUGAUGGAAGUAACGUUAGUAACGUUAGGAUAACACAGGGACUUUGAGGUGAUGGGGUAACGUUGGUAACAUUAGGAUAACACAGGGACUUUGAGGUGAUGGGAUAACGUUAGUAAUGUUAGGAUAACACAGGGACUUUGAGGUGACUGAAGUAAUGUUAGAAUAACACAGGGACUUUGAGGUGAUGGAAGUAACAUUAGUAAUGUUAGAGUAACACAGGGACUUUGAGGUGAUUGAAGUAAUGUUAGUAAUGUUAGAGUAACACAGGGACUUUGAGGUGAUUGAAGUGAUGUUAGUAAUGUUAGAGUAACACAGGGACUUUGAGGUGAUGGAAGUAACGUUAGUAACGUUAGGAUAACACAGGGACUUUGAGGUGAUGGAGGUAACGUUAGGAUAACACAGGGACUUUGAGGUGAUGGAGGUAACGUUAGUAACGUUAGGAUAACACAGGGACUUUGAGGUGAUGGAGGUAACGCUAGGAUAACACAGGGACUUUGAGGUGAUGGGGUAACGUUAGUAGCAUUAGGAUAACACAGGGACUUUGAGGUGAUGGGGUAACGUUAGUAACGUUAGGAUAACACAGGGAAUUUGAGGUGAUGGAGGUAACGCUAGGAUAACACAGGGACUGUGAGGUGAUGGGGUAACGUUAGUAGCGUUAGGAUAACACAGGGACUUUGAGGUGAUGGAGGUAACGUUAGUAACGUUAGGAUAACACAGGGACUUUGAGGUGAUGGAGGUAAAGUUAGGAUAACACAGGGACUUUGAGGUGAUGGAGGUAACGUUAAUAACGUUAGGAUAACACAGGGACUUUGAGGUUUAGGGGUAACGUUAGUAACAUUAGGAUAACACAGGGUCUUUGAGGUGAUGGAGGUAACGCUAUGAUAACACAGGGACUGUGAGGUGAUGGGGUAACGUUAGUAGCGUUAGGAUAACACAGGGACUUUGAGGUGAUGGAGGUAACGUUAGUAACGUUAGGAUAACACAGGGACUUUGAGGUGAUGGAGGUAACGCUAGGAUAACACAGGGACUUUGAGGUGAUGGGGUAACGUUAGUAGCAUUAGGAUAACACAGGGACUUUGAGGUGAUGGGGUAACGUUAGUAACGUUAGGAUAACACAGGGAAUUUGAGGUGAUGGAGGUAACGCUAGGAUAACACAGGGACUGUGAGGUGAUGGGGUAACGUUAGUAGCGUUAGGAUAACACAGGGACUUUGAGGUGAUGGAGGUAACGUUAGUAACGUUAGGAUAACACAGGGACUUUGAGGUGAUGGAGGUAAAGUUAGGAUAACACAGGGACUUUGAGGUGAUGGAGGUAACGUUAAUAACGUUAGGAUAACACAGGGACUUUGAGGUGAUGGAGGUAAAGUUAGGAUAACACAGGGACUUUGAGGUGAUGGAGGUAACGUUAGUAGCGUUAGGAUAACACAGGGACUUUGAGGUGAUGGAGGUAAAGUUAGGAUAACACAGGGACUUUGAGGUGAUGGAAGUAACGUUAGGAUAACACAGGGACUUUGAGGUUUAGGGGUAACGUUAGUAACAUUAGGAUAACACAGGGUCUUUGAGGUGAUUGAGGUAACGCUAGGAUAACACAGGGACUUUGAGGUUUAGGGGGUAACGUUAGUAACAUUGGGAUAACACAGGGACUUUGAGGUGAUGGAGGUAACGUUAAUAGCGUUAGGAUAACACAGGGACUUUGAGGUGAUGGAGGUAAAGUUAGGAUAACACAGGGACUUUGAGGUGAUGGAGGUAACGUUAGUAGCGUUAGGAUAACACAGGGACUUUGAGGUGAUGGAGGUAAAGUUAGGAUAACACAGGGACUUUGAGGUGAUGGAGGUAACGUUAGUAGCGUUAGGAUAACACAGGGACUUUGAGGUGAUGGAAGUAACGUUAGGAUAACACAGGGACUUUGAGGUUUAGGGGGUAACGUUAGUAACAUUAGGAUAACACAGGGACUUUGAGGCGAUUGAGGUAACGCUAGGAUAACACACGGACUUUGAGGUUUAGGGGUAACGUUAGUAACAUUAGGAUAACACAGGGACUUUGAGGUGAUGGAGGUAACGUUAGUAACAUUAGGAUAACACAGGGACUUUGAGGUGAUGGAGGUAACGUUAGGAUAACACACGGACUUUGAGGUUUAGGUGUAACGUUAGUAACAUUAGGAUAACACAGGGACUUUGAGGUGAUGGGGUAACGUUAGGAUAACACAGGGACUUUGAGGUGAUGGGGUAACGUUAGGAUAACACAGGGACUUUGAGGUGAUGGGGUAACGUUAGUGACGUUAGGAUAACACAGUGACUUUGAGGUGGUGGGGGUAACGUUAGUAAUGUAAGGAUAACAUAGGGACUUUGAGGUGAUAGAGGUAACGUUAGUUAUGAGCAAUGGUGAUUGAUUAGUAUCAGAUGUCCCAAUAUUAAUUGGUAUUGGCCCUGCCUCCAUGAAGCUUUAUAGCACAUCAUCUGAAGUCUAAUGAAGUUUAUUUGCAUAGAAGAGAUUGGAUAGUAACCCAUGGCUUGCUCUGUGUACUUAUUUUCAGUGAGAAAAUAGGACACCCUAUGAAAAUGAGAGUAGGUACACACUGGGAGCAUCAAUAGAGUUUGCGUGUAUGCGCGUGUGUCUGUGUGCGAGUGAGGGGGGGUUUCAGUUUAGUCUCUGUGUGUUGAGGAGUCAGCUUGCCUGGGGGAUAAAGCUGUUAGAGAGUCUGGCAGUGGUGGCCUGGAUGCUCCGGUAUCUUCUGCCAGACAUCACACUUUAUAAUAGGUAUGGGUCCCUCUACUCAAAUGUCGUUUGUACUGUUUGUUUUAUAUUCCUGUUAUACUCAGCUUACAAAGAAUGAUAACUCUAAUGUACAGAAAUCAUUUUGCUAACAAACAAAAAAACCUGUUUCAUUAGUAGCUUUAUUUUUAAUUAUUGUAUGACAGUUAACACAAGAACACAGUUAGCUAACGUGCUAACAUAAACUAUGCAGUAAUAAACCAAUGCUAUAUGCAACAGCAGGUCAAGAUUGCUUAUACAUCUAAACUCUAGUAACUGUUGUUCUAUGAUGUUUACCAGAGUGGAUACUUAGAGGUAGUCAAUCCCAUGUGUAUGAGAGACUUUGAGUCCCGUGUGACACCAUGCAUCCCUUGGCUAUGAAAGGGGUGUACAAAACAUCACUUAAACUUUUGAAACCGUCACUUAACGAAGGUGUGCCGUACUGACAAAUGGCUCUGGCUAGAGAUGCUGCUGGAGAUUGAGCUACAGACGAAUUGUAAGCAGUCGGCCAGUGCUGCCAGCAGGGGGCGAACACAAAAACCCCAAAAUGCCAGAAGGUAAUCAGUGCAAACGAGGUAUACCUGCUGGCACUGGUAAAUAACACUAAGGAAAGCAGCACACUCUUGCCACACCUUUGUAGAGGGGUGACCGGUAACAUAGGGUACUAAAGAAAAUAAAAGGAAAAGAAAAAUCUCAAAAGA